CCAAAGGUCCUUUUCAGGACCACCUUUUCAAAGGGCACUGACUUGG
rfam:Soboliphyme baturini genome assembly, scaffold: SBAD_contig0004863